rnacentral:rRNA from 1 species
GACGAACGCUGGCGGCGUGCUUAACACAUGCAAGUCGAACGGAAAGGCCCUGCUUUUGUGGGGUGCUCGAGUGGCGAACGGGUGAGUAACACGUGAGUAACCUGCCCUUGUCUUUGGGAUAACUUCAGGAAACUGGGGCUCAUACCGGAUAGGAGCUCCUGCUGCAUGGUGGGGGUUGGAAAGUUUCGGCGGUUGGGGAUGGACUCGCGGCUUAUCAGCUUGUUGGUGGGGUAGUGGCUUACCAAGGCUUUGACGGGUAGCCGGCCUUAGAGGGUGACCGGCCACAUGGGGACUGAGAUACGGCCCAGACUCGUACGGGAGGCAGAAGUGGGAAAUAUGGCACAAUGGGCGGAAGCGAGAGGCAACAACCCCGCGUGCGGAAUGACGGCCUUCGGGGUAUAAACCGCUUUCGCCUGUGACGAAGCGUGAGUGACGGUAAUGGGUAAGGAAGCACCGGCUAACUACGUG